GAUGAACGCUGGCGGCGUGCCUAAUACAUGCAAGUCGAGCGAACGGACGAGAAGCUUGCUUCUCUGAUGUUAGCGGCGGACGGGUGAGUAACACGUGGAUAACCUACCUAUAAGACUGGGAUAACUUCGGGAAACUGGAGCUAAUACCGGAUGAUAUUUUGAACCGCAUGGUUCAAAAGUGAAAGACGGUCUUGCUGUCACUUAUAGAUGGAUCCGCGCUGCAUUAGCUAGUUGGUAAGGUAACGGCUUACCAAGGCAACGAUGCAUAGCCGACCUGAGAGGGUGAUCGGCCCCACUGGAACUGGGACACGGUCCAGACUCCUACGGGAGGCAGCAGUAGGGAAUCUUCCGCGAUGGGCGAAAGCCUGACGGAGCAACGCCGCGUGAGUGAUGAAGGUCUUCGGAUCGUAAAACUCUGUUAUUAGGGAAGAACAUAUGUGUAAGUAACUGUGCACAUCUUGACGGUACCUAAUCAGAAAGCCACGGCUAACUACGUG
rnacentral:rRNA from 1 species